UACGGGGGGGGCAAGCGUUGUUCGGAAUUACUGGGCGUAAAGGGCGCGUAGGCGGUUUGCUAAGUCGGAUGUGAAAACUCUGGGCUCAACCCAGAGCCUGCAUCCGAAACUGGCAGGCUAGAGUUCUGGAGGGGGUAGCGGAAUUCCUGGUGUAGCGGUGAAAUGCGUAGAUAUCAGGAGGAACACCGGUGGCGAAGGCGGGUCUCUGGGCAGUAACUGACGCUGAGGAGCGAAAGCGUGGGGAGCGAACAGG
rnacentral:rRNA from 1 species